GACUAUUGUCAGGUUGAGAGGAUACAGAAAACUGAGUUACAAGCAUAGAAAAAUGAAAAAUAAAGCAUACUAUUGUUUGGACAAUUGUACGGUCUGGUCAUACGGUAAACUUUUCCUUUCAGAGGAAAUAUUACACAAUUGUCAUGGUCUCAUGGAUCAGUGGAAGUUACUCACAGCAACACACCCAGAUUAUGGAUAGCUAGAAUCAAGCCAUACAUGAACUAAAGACGUGAAAAAAGCCUGGAAUUUUGACUUCAGGUUCCAUUCAUGCUUUCAUGUUUCCCGUGAAUCUGAAUCAUCAGCUGUGUAGGGCAGUUUCAUAUGCACCUGCGAUGUCAAGAAAAAAUCGUUAAAGGAAUAAGAUAACAAAAGCUAUACUGGAUGGAGGCCAACCAUGUUAUACUCUGGAAGGAGGGUCUAAUAGCUAAGGGAUAUUUUCAGAUAAUAAGUUUGGCAGUGAAAAUUCCAAUAUCUACAUAAAAUGUCGUAUCAAAGGAUUUCAUAUGGAGGGAGGAUUUUGAAUAUUGGCCUCACGGGAAAUAGAGGCGUGAGGUUCUGUUCAACGUGAUGGAAUGGUAGGACGAACAGAAGCAGCAGCAUAGCAGUGUCAGCAAUACGGACAGCAGCAGCAGCGUAGCGGCAAAAUUGCAUCUCUCACGCAGCAACGUACAUGCAUCGGCGCCACAACGCACACCAGCGCGUGGUCACGCACCUUGGCUACAUCGCUGCACGAAGAGCAGGCAGACCUCUACCUUGGCCAGUGACCUGCCACCCGAAUCCUCUCCUUCCCACGACGGCG
rnacentral:lncRNA from 1 species